UACGAAGGGUGCAAACGUUGCUCGGAAUUAUUGGGCGUAAAGCGCACGUAGGCGGCUUAGCAAGUCGGAUGUGAAAUCCCUCGGCUCAACCAAGGAAGUGCAUCCGAAACUGCUGAGCUUGAGUACGAAAGAGGAUCGCGGAAUUCCCGGUGUAGAGGUGAAAUUCGUAGAUAUCAGGAGGAACACCGGUGGCGAAGGCGGCCCUCUGGACGGUGACUGACGCUGAGACGCGAAAGCGUGGGGAGCAAACAGG
rnacentral:rRNA from 1 species